rnacentral:rRNA from 1 species
GAUGAACGCUGGCGGCGUGCUUAACACAUGCAAGUCGAACGAAGCACCUUAUUCUGAUUUCUUCGGAAUGAAAAAUUUGGUGACUGAGUGGCGGACGGGUGAGUAACGCGUGGGUAACCUGCCUCAUACAGGGGGAUAACAGUUAGAAAUGACUGCUAAUACCGCAUAAGACCACAGCACCGCAUGGUGCAGGGGGUAAAAACUCCGGUGGUAUGAGAUGGACCCGCGUCUGAUUAGGUAGUUGGUGGGUAACGGCCCACCAAGCCGACGAUCAGUAGCCGACCUGAGAGGGUGACCGGCACAUUGGGACUGAGACACGGCCCCAAAAUCCUACGGGAGGCAGCAGUGGGGAAUAUUGCACAAUGGGGGAAACCCUGAUGCAGCGACGCGCGUGAGCGAUGAAGUAUUUCGGUAUGUAAAGCUCUAUCAGCAGGG